AAUUUUGGACAAUGGGGGAAACCCUGAUCCAGCCAUCCCGCGUGUAUGAUGAAGGCCUUCGGGUUGUAAAGUACUUUUGGCAGAGAAGAAAAGGUAUCUCCUAAUACGAGAUACUGCUGACGGUAUCUGCAGAAUAAGCACCGGCUAACUACGUGCCAGCCGCCGCGGUAAUACGUAGGGUGCAAGCGGUAAUCGGAAUUACUGGGCGUAAAGCGUGUGGAGGAGGGUCGGAAAGAAAGAAGUGGAAUACCAGGGCUCAACCUUGGAACUGCAUUUUUAACAGCCGGGCUAGAGGAUGUCAGAGGGGGGUAGAAUUCCACGUGGAGCAGUGGAAUGCGUAGAUAUGUGGAAGAAUACCGAUGGCGAAGGCAGCCCCCUGGGAUAAUACUGACGCUCAGAAACGAAAGCGGGGGGAGCAAACAGG
rnacentral:rRNA from 1 species